UACGUAGGCAGCGAGCGUUUGUUCGGAAUUACUGGGCGUAAAGAGUGUGUAGGCGGUGCUCUAAGUUCGGUGUGAAAUCUCCUGGCUCAACUGGGAGGGUGCGCCGAAUACUGAGAGACUUGGAGUGCGGGAGAGGAAAGUGGAAUUCCUGGUGUAGCGGUGAAAUGCGUAGAUAUCAGGAGGAACACCGGUGGUGUAGACGGCUUUCUGGACCGUAACUGACGA
rnacentral:rRNA from 1 species